CCUUGUAAGGCUGCCCUGGCAUCUUGUUGGACUAGAUAAGCGCUGCAAUAGGCAGCGGCUACAGCCAGAGGACCACUGAGAUAGCGAGGGUUCCGCAGGCCCCUGGUGCCAACGGAAUAAGCGGACUUCAGGGGUAGGGUCUGCGGCUCUCCUCUGGUCUGACUCCUGCGCUAGAGACGGCUCGGUAACUCCAGAACCUCGAGUGCGAAGCGUAUUGAGGUGCCUGCCCCAGCAUUUCAUAAAUUGAAGAAUUGGGUUUCAAAUGUGAUGGUUCUGAUGACAUCAUUGGUGAAAAUAGACUGUUAUAGAAGAGCUGAAAUGAGGAAUCCAAAAUGGCUAAACAAGAGGUUAUGGCUGAGCUCAUCUCCUCAACUUCACCUCAAAAUGGAAAUAACUGUGCCUUAGUAAAAGAGAACAACCUAAAAAGGCAAAAAAAAUCAUCUUAAAAAAUAAAAUGUAACAAAAAAGAAAUGACCAGCAGGAUCAUUUCAGAAAGGCCUGGAGAGACUUACAUGAACUGAUGCUGAGUGAAAUGAGCAGGACCAGGAGAUUACUUCAACAACAAUACUAUAUGAUGAUCAAUUCUGAUAGACGUGGCCAUUUUCAACAAUGAGAUGAACCAAAUCAGUUCCAAUGGAGCAGUAAUGAACUGAACCAUUUACACCCAGGGAAAGAACUCUGGGAAAUGAGUGUGAACCACUACAUAGAAUUCCCAAUCCCUCUAUUUUUGUCCACCUGCAUUUUUUAUUUCCUUCACAGGUUAAUUGUAUAUUAUUUCAAAGUCUGAUUCUUCUUGUGCAGCAAAAUAACUAUAUGGACAUGUAUACAUAUAUUGUAUUUAACUUAUACUUUAACAUAUUUAACAUGUAUGGGUCUACCUGCCAUCUGGGGGAAGGCAUGAAAGGACGGAGGGGAAAAAAUGGAACAAAAAGUUUUGUAGUUGUCAUUGCUGACAAAUUACCCAUGCAUCUAUCUUGCAAAUGAAAAGCUAUAAUAAAAAAAAUCUUAAUAAAAUUCCUUUCUGCUUUUUACCUUGAAAAAAAAAAACUAACUAGAGUAUAUUGAAUUUGCCUGUAAGACAAUCUCAAUCCAAAAUGCAAAGACUUGUAUACAGCACAAUUAGCAUAGAAUAAUCAUAUAGGUUUCAGGGUAGGACAAUGGGGUAAAAUUGAUUUGUCAAGAUCUCUGUCACUGAGUAUAAAAAGUAAUCUGGCACAAAAACAUCUUUUACCCAAUUUAAGGUUUGGGGUUUCUUCUAGAAUGGAGCAUAAUAUGAUGUGGGGUGGGGUAGGGUUAGGCUGUUUCUCAGAACAGAUUACACAUGAUAUCAUGGCACAUUCAAUUUUGGGUUUCUUGCAUUCCAAACUCUAAUGGGAGACUGUAGACAUAUAUAUGUGAAUAAAAUGAAAUAAUUCUCAAAAUGGAGUAGCUCUGGAUUCACACCUUUCCCCUCCUUUAUGUUAUAUAAACACAGCAUCCAGACUAAACUAAGGAGCAAGGAUCAAAUUCUUUUUUCUCAUGUUUCAUAUUGUAUUUGAGCUUUUCACAUUGUUUCUCCAAAACAGAUGACAAUUAUUUAAACACACUUGAGUGUGAUACCUGAUUCCUUGUUAAUCAUAAGUAGUAAAUAUUAGAUUCAUGUAUUCUAAGGUUUUUUGGUAAAUAGUAUUUUAUUUUUUCCAAUUAAAUGUAAAGAUAGUUUUCAACAUUCAACAUUUUCUUCCAAAUUUUUCUUUCUUCCCUCCUCUCUCCUCAAGACAGCAAGCAAUCUGAUAAAAGUUAUACAUGUGAAAUCAUGGAAACAAAUUUCUAUAUUAGUCACACUGUGACAUUUCACUUCAUGUAAGUCUUUCCAGGUUUUUCUGAAAUCUAUCUGCUCAUCAUUUCUUAUAGAACUAUUGUGCUUACAUUUAUAUACCACAAUUUGUUCAGCCAUUCCCAAAUUGAAGGGCAUCCCCUCAAUUUCCAAUUCUUUGCCAUCACAAAAGGAAUUACUACAAACAUUUUUUGUACAUAUGGGUCCUUUUCUACAGAAUGGUUGAAUCAGUUCACAACUUAUGGAUCAAAUUCUUACAAAUGAGCUGAAGUGACUGAAUGAUUAGGGUAAAAAAGGGAUAAUGGCCUUGUAGGAGACAGGGUCAAGAGACUGAUUUGAAGAAGUAUAAGGAAUGGUCAGAAGUGCUCUUGGAGGUAACAAUUUCCAAGCAUCUAACAAUCAUAAAGAAGUCAGGGAUCCUAAGGUUCAAGAGCACAAAGACGCUUUUUAGUUUCAGGAGGGUAUAAAUCAAAGUACUUACACUUUUACUAGGAAACAAGUACAUUGUGUGAAUAUUACAAAAAGAAACAAAUCAUAAUGCCAUGUUUCCUUUAUUGCCAUAAAAGCUGAAUAAACUUAGGUAACUAAUCAUAGUCUCAUGCAUUCCUUAAGCAGACAAACAUCAUUAAGCAGAAUCUGUAAAUUAAAUUACAAAUUGAACUACUAAUUUAGAGGGUUCACAAUGGAUUGAUUGAGUGGAGACUGAUAAAAUACCAGUUAACUAAGGUAGUUUACAAAUAAGUAAAUUACUUUAGUAAACUCAAACUUCCUUUUAGCUUCUUGAAGAAUAAUAAAGUUAGCAUUAUUUUCAUAAAUCAAGUUUUGGUCAGAUGAAAUUAAUGUAAACAUAAGACAGGCUUUUAGUUGAUCACAAAUUGCAGGAAGAAUGGCCCUGAUUUCUGAACAAUAAAUAAGAGGAAUUUGAGCAUACUCCUCUUGCAGGCAAACAUAAACACUAUGAAACAUUAAAAUAAAGUAAUGCAAUAAUGAUCAUCAGUAUUAAAUAACAUCAAAUCUCCUUGUUCCUGGUUAACUCAUUCCCAGUGUACAUAUGAUAAGAAAAGUCAUUUUGAGUUGCAGCUGUCCCCUGUAGUCUUCUGGACCCUGAAAACAUCUUCCCUGGGAAAUUAUGGAAUAGGUUUCCUUCCCAGGGCAGCUUCUCCUUCUAAUAGAUUUACUUUUCUGGUUCUAGGUAACUUGUAGAGAGUCCCUAUUUAAUACUGCUAAAAUCUAACAAUAACAAGACUCAAUUUAGUAUAACAUCAUAAAUUUGGUUUUCAGUAACUAGUUCAUAUGGUGAAAAUUAGUUCAGACUUUAUAGAGCUAAUCCUACUAACAACAGAGCUAUAGGACAUCAAAUUAGGAAUUCAUAAUUCACCUGAAACUUUAGAGAAUUUCAGCUUUUAGAUCCCACUUGUUCUUACUAUCUUUAUCUGAACCUUAUACAUAUUAUGGACAAAGCCAUCAACAGGCUGAAAGAAGAAUUUUGAAAAGGAUCUGUGAGGGCCUGAUUUGGAAAAAUGAGCACCUCUGUCUCUUAAUAUUAUUAGAGAGAAUCUUCAAAGCAGGAAAAAAAUGUGAUUUUAAAAUAUUUUUAUAUUUAUUAAUGUAAUUUUUCAUAUGAAAUUCUUAAUCUAAUUUUGAGAAUUUAUUGCUAGAACAUACUCAAAGUCUGUAUAUCCCAUUUGAAACAUUUAGAAGCCAAUCAUAUCGAUAUCCUUGUUCUCAGAAAAAAAGAAUAAUUUUGUUGCUUCCUCUGAGUUUACUACAUUAAAAUUUUAAAAUCUUAUUUUUACAUGUUUAUCAUAUCCCUCUCUUUUGAGGAUAUAUACUAUUAUCAUAUCAUACUGAAAGAAUGAGAUUCUUUAAGGACCCAACCUUACAUUGAAUAUACAACUAUUACAAAGGAAUGGAAGCCUAAGAACUCAUUCACUCAGUCAUUUAGAAUAUGGAGAUGAUCACAAAUUCAGGAGAAAAAUAGUAAAAUUUUUCAUACUUGCAUUCUGCUUUAGCAACUCAGAAAUAUUUCAUAUUUAUUAAGUAAUAGAUUUAGUAUUACAAUGACAAAAAUUUCAAAGACAAUUUCCUGUCUUGAUUAUAGACAUUUUCUAUAAAAGAAAAAAGGAAAGACAUGGUUUUAACAAUGUCAAGACUGACCUACCACAGGCACAAGAUGACUGAAAAAAGUGCAGUAGGGGAGAAAAUUAAAAUCCAAUAGCUCUAUUUUACUCCAGGUAAAAAUUCAUAGUUAGCAACCAAUCAUACAGAAAGAUUCCACAUUAUUCACAGAAUAAAAAUGUAAAAAGGAAAGAGAAAUCAUAAGAGAUUCAAGGAGGUUAAACUGUUUAUAUUUUUAUAUGGAAAAUGACAUUUAUAAUUCUUAAAAAAUUUCUUAUUAUUAGAGCAGUUAGAGUAUACAUAGACACAAAGCAGAG
ensembl:lncRNA